UGGAUGGGCAAAAGCGACAAGAGUGAUACAACAAUAAGUAAACAGGAUUACAACAAGGAGCGACAUCUCCGAUUUAUCACGGAGGCUCCCGGCAAAGCUCUUACCUAUCUGGUUUCUGUUGGGUGAUACGCCAGUCCUUCCCAUUGAAAGUCUGUGGAGAGCAGAUCCAUAGUCAGCUGGCCUUUGCUGUCAUGUUGACAAUAAUAACCAUGCGGUUGAUUUUGGGAAACUGUCGUAGUUUGCAGAGAGUCAGAGAGGAAGGAAGAAAGUAGACGAUGACGGGAAGGAUCGGCGGCGAUCACGUGAACACUGGCGUAUGUGCUGCGUGUUUGUUACUUGUGUGGGAGCUGAAGCGACUACGCUGCACAGCUUGUAUUAUCAG